GGACCCGCACAAGCAGCGGAGCAUGUGGUUUAAUUCGAAGCAACGCGAAGAACCUUACCAAGGCUUGACAUCCCUUGACCGCCAUGGAAACAUGGCUUCCCUUCGGGGCAAGGAGACAGGUGGUGCAUGGUUGUCGUCAGCUCGUGUCGUGAGAUGUUGGGUUAAGUCCCGCAACGAGCGCAACCCUUGUCAUUAGUUGCCAGCGCGUAAAGGCGGGAACUCUAAUGAGACUGCCGGGGAUAACUCGGAGGAAGGUGGGG
rnacentral:rRNA from 1 species